ACACUAAAGACGUGUGGAAUCAAACUUUCCUCCUUCUUCUUUCUCCUCUCGGCUGUCGCAGGACUCAGGCCCGACCUGACGCGUUUUCAGCACCGCCUCUGAACCAAUGAAAGCAGAAAGUUAAGAGGAAGUCUGAUUGGUUUUGGGCUUGACGGAGACAUCAGCUUCAAUUUCUGGCAGCGUGUUGGAGGAAAGCUCUCAGGACAGGAAGUCUAAAGCAUCACCUGCUAUUCUCUCCCUCCCCAAGUCAAUUUUCUGCUGUAAAUCAUAGUGGCAGAGGAGGGGGAUUAAAAGAGGAAUAAGAGGGAAUGGGAGCUCUUACUGCAAAGACACAGCUUGAAUAAAAUCAAGUAUUUCUGUUUCACCUGA